UUUUUUCGUUCAGAACUGAGCGUAUAUGAAGAACAUUAUUACAAAAAUUGGUCAACAGACACCAAACUACUUCUAAGUGCGAACGCGGCCACUGCAAAAAGUAUCUCUAGCCUCCACAGCGUUGCACCUGAUGUAUGAAACAGAGUGUAGCAAAGCAAGC
rnacentral:lncRNA from 1 species